AUUGAACGCUGGCGGCAGGCCUAACACAUGCAAGUCGAGCGGAUGACGGGAGCUUGCUCCUUGAUUCAGCGGCGGACGGGUGAGUAAUGCCUAGGAAUCUGCCUGGUAGUGGGGGACAACGUUUCGAAAGGAACGCUAAUACCGCAUACGUCCUACGGGAGAAAGCAGGGGACCUUCGGGCCUUGCGCUAUCAGAUGAGCCUAGGUCGGAUUAGCUAGUAGGUGGGGUAAUGGCUCACCUAGGCGACGAUCCGUAACUGGUCUGAGAGGAUGAUCAGUCACACUGGAACUGAGACACGGUCCAGACUCCUACGGGAGGCAGCAGUGGGGAAUAUUGGACAAUGGGCGAAAGCCUGAUCCAGCCAUGCCGCGUGUGUGAAGAAGGUCUUCGGAUUGUAAAGCACUUUAAGUUGGGAGGAAGGGCAGUAAGCGAAUACCUUGCUGUUUUGACGUUACCGACAGAAUAAGCACCGGCUAACUCUGUGCCAGCAGCCGCAGUAAGAC
rnacentral:rRNA from 1 species